UACGUAGGGGGCAAGCGUUGUCCGGAUUUAUUGGGCGUAAAGAGCGUGUAGGCGCCAGACAGGUCCGUUGUGAAAACUCGAGGCUCAACCUCGAGACGCCGAUGGAAACCGUCUGGCUAGAGUCCGGAAGAGGAGAGUGGAAUUCCAGGUGUAGCGGUGAAAUGCGUAGAUAUCUGGAGGAACACCGGUGGCGAAGGCGGCGAUCCUGGAGCCAAUUCUGACACUGAGGACGCGAAAGCCAGGGGAGCAAACGGGAGUU
rnacentral:rRNA from 1 species